UACGUAGGGCGCAAGCGUUGUCCGGAAUUAUUGGGCGUAAAGAGCUCGUAGGCGGCCAGUUGCGUCCGCUGUGAAAUCCCAGGGCUUAACCCUGGGCGUGCAGUGGAUACGGGCUGGCUGGAGGCAGGCAGGGGAGAACGGAAUCCCGGUGUAGCGGUGAAAUGCGCAGAUAUCGUAAGGAAGACCAGUGGCGAAGGCGGGUCUCUGGACAGUUCCUGACGCUGAGGCACGAAGGUCAGGGGAGCAAACGGG
rnacentral:rRNA from 1 species